CCUGAGCAGGCGAGCGCCCCUUUCCUCCAGCAGGUACACUUUGUACCCAGGUAUGGAAAAACAUGGAUUUUCCUUUGUGUUGCAUGGAGUGUGGGUUUACAGGGACAUCUCAUAACCCCAGGAAGAUGAAGUUCCAAAAACUGGGCAACACAUUGUUCUCUCGCUGUUCCCACGCGGAGGAUGAGGAUAAGACGGGCGGAGGACAGAGAGAGUGCUGUGCUAGAAGCCGUGUUCGAGGACCUUCCUCCUGACCUCGCUCCUGGUGUGGCCCCCAGGCAGGAGACACCAGACAAGCACAGGGGGUCACGGAACCAGGGCUGUGUUCUCAGGGAGCAUCUCCCGAGUUGGUGUUUUUAGUUCAAGGUUCUUGGGUUCUACUCCUGUGUUUACACACAUUCCUGUGUGGGGACAUGAUCCUGUUGGACUUUUUGAGGGUUUAGGAGAAGCUGAGCUUCUAGAAACUGAACAGAACACGGAGCUGCAAAGGAGAAGCCAGUGUCCUUCACCACAGAGCUGCACCCACACCUGGCCUAGGACAUGGAGGUGCCGUGGGAGCCCGAGAUGCCAUGAGCCCAUGAAAAUGGAGACGCAGUGUGGUUUUGCAGGGACGCAGAUCUGGGUCUGAUUCUGGCUCUGCCACUCACUAGCUGUGUGACCUGGGGAAAGUUAAUCAACAUCUCUGAGCCUCAGUUCCCUUCUCUCUCCAAUGGCUGUAAGAGCGCUUGUAGGGCUGUUGGGGAUAUUGCAAGAGAUCUAGAGCAAGUUGCCUGCACGCAGAGGGGGAUCC